GACACAAACAAACAAUUUGAAAACAUUUGCAUAUUCAGAUAGAGGCGUGGCCAAGGAGGAGUUUGGUGCGUGUGCACAUGUUCACACAGCACUGUCCACACU